rnacentral:rRNA from 1 species
GACGAACGCUGGCGGCGUGCCUAAUACAUGCAAUUCGAGCGAAUCUGAGGGAGCUUGCUCCCAAAGAUUAGCGGCGGACGGGUGAGUAACACGUGGGCAACCUGCCUGUAAGACUGGGAUAACUCCGGGAAACCGGGGCUAAUACCGGAUAAUAUCUAUUUAUACAUAUAAUUAGAUUGAAAGAUGGUUCUGCUAUCACUUACAGAUGGGCCCGCGGCGCAUUAGCUAGUUGGUGAGGUAACGGCUUACCAAGGCGACGAUGCGUAGCCGACCUGAGAGGGUGAUCGGCCACACUGGGACUGAGACACGGCCCAGACUCCUACGGGAGGCAGCAGUAGGGAAUCUUCCGCAAUGGACGAAAGUCUGACGGAGCAACGCCGCGUGAGUGAUGAAGGUUUUCGGAUCGUAAAACUCUGUUGUUAGGGAAGAACAAGUAUCGGAGUAACUGCCGGUACCUUGACGGUACCUAACCAGAAAGCCACGGCUAACUACGUGCCAGCAGCCGCGGUAAUACGUAGGUGGCAAGCGUUGUCCGGAAUUAUUGGGCGUAAAGCGCGCGCAGGCGGUUCCUUAAGUCUGAUGUGAAAGCCCACGGCUCAACCGUGGAGGGUCAUUGGAAACUGGGGAACUUGAGUGCAGAAGAGGAAAGUGGAAUUCCAAGUGUAGCGGUGAAAUGCGUAGAGAUUUGGAGGAACACCAGUGGC